GUCUCCAUAGUGUAGUGGUUAACAUGUUUGCUUGGUAAAUGAAAGGUCACUGAUUUGAUUUCAGCCAGAGACC
rnacentral:tRNA from 1 species